CGCACGAGCGUAACCCCUGUUCUUCAGUUGCCAUCGGGUGAUGCCGGGCACUCUGGAGAGACUGCCCAGGAUAACGGGGAAGGAAGGUGGGGAUGACGUCAAGUCAGCAUGGCCUUUAUGCCUGGGGCUACACACGUGCUACAAUGGCCGGUACAAAGGGUUGCAAUCCCGCAAGGGGGAGCCAAUCCCAAAAAACCGGCCUCAGUUCAGAUUGUGGUCUGCAACCCGACCACAUGAAGGUGGAAUCGCUAGUAAUCGCGGAUCAGCACGCCGCGGUGAAUACGUUCCCGGGCCUUGUACACACCGCCCGUCACACCACGAAAGUCAGCUGUACCUGACGUCGCUGGAGCUAACCCGCAAGGGAGGCAGGUGCCCACGGUAUGGUUGGUGAUUGGGGUGAAGUCGUAACAAGGUAGCCGUAGGGGAACCUGCGGCUGGAUCA
rnacentral:rRNA from 1 species